UACGUAGGGUGCGAGCGUUAAUCGGAAUUACUGGGCGUAAAGUGUGCGCAGGCGGCCGAGCAAGUCGAGUGUGAAAGCCCCGAGCUUAACUUGGGAACUGCGCUCGAAACUACUUGGCUAGAGUGUGGCAGAGGGAGGUGGAAUUCCACGUGCAGCGGUGAAAUGCGUAGAGAUGUGGAGGAACACCGAUGGCGAAGGCAGCCUCCUGGGCCAACACUGACGCUCAUGCACGAAAGCGUGGGGAGCAAACGGG
rnacentral:rRNA from 1 species